GGAGUUGUGGCUCAGAGGUAGAGCAAUUGCCUAGCAGGCAUGAGACACUGGGUUCGAUCCUCAACACCA
rnacentral:tRNA from 1 species